rnacentral:rRNA from 1 species
UACGUAGGGGGCGAGCGUUGUCCGGAUUUAUUGGGCGUAAAGAGCUCGUAGGCGGUUUGGUAAGUCGGGUGUGAAAUCUCCACGCUCAACGUGGAGGGGCCACUCGAUACUGCCAUGACUCGAGUCCGGUAGAGGAGUGUGGAAUUCCCGGUGUAGCGGUGAAAUGCGCAGAUAUCGGGAGGAACACCAAUGGCGAAGGCAGCUCGCUGGGACGUGACUGACGCUGAGACGCGAAAGCGUGGGGAGCAAACAGGG